rnacentral:rRNA from 1 species
CCUACGGGUGGCAGCAGUGGGGAAUAUUGCACAAUGGGGGAAACCCUGAUGCAGCGACGCCGCGUGAAGGAUGAAGUAUUUCGGUAUGUAAACUUCUAUCAGCAGGGAAGAAAAUGACGGUACCUGACUAAGAAGCCCCGGCUAACUACGUGCCAGCAGCCGCGGUAAUCCGUAGGGGGCAAGCGUUAUCCGGAUUUACUGGGUGUAAAGGGGGCGCAGACGGCGAUGCAAGCCAGGAGUGAAAGCCCGGGGCCCAACCCCGGGACUGCUCUUGGAACUGCGUGGCUAGAGUGCAGGAGGGGCAGGCGGAAUUCCUGGUGUAGCGGUGAAAUGCGUAGAUAGCAGGAGGAACACCGGUGGCGAAGGCGGCCUGCUGGACUGCAACUGACGUUGAGGCCCGAAAGCGUGGGGAGCAAACAGGAUUAGAUACCCUGGUAGUC